CCAAGAGCGUAUGUAAAAGUUGUUGCAGUUAAAAAGCUCGUAGUUGAACCUUGGGUUUGGUUGGCCGGUCCGCUUUUUUGCGAGUACUGGAUUCAACCGAGCCUUUCCUUCUGGCUAACCAGUCGUUUCGGCGGCUGGCGAACCAGGAUUUUUACUUUGAGAAAAUUAGAGUGUUCAAAGCAGGCAUUAGCUUGAAUAUAUUAGCAUGGAAUAAUGGAAUAGGACGUUAUGGUUCUAUUUUGUUGGUUUCUAGGACCAUCGUAAUGAUUAAUAGGGACGGUCGGGGGCAUCAGUAUUCAGUUGUCAGAGGUGAAAUUCUUGGAUUUACUGAAGACUAACUACUGCGAAAGCAUUUGCCAAGGACGUUUUCAUUAA
rnacentral:rRNA from 1 species